rnacentral:lncRNA from 1 species
GAAAAAGCCCGCGGCGUCUUCUCUGUCACCCGCGCUCGGCUCCCUGCUCGGUCGGGCUGGAACCUGUACUGGCAGCCGGAGGUGUAGGUAGGAACCGGAAUACCUCGGAAGCCGGGAAAUGGACUCAAUGAUCUUUGAGGAUGUGGCUGUGAACUUUACCCAGGAGGAGUGGGCUUUGCUGGAUCCGUCCCAGAAGAAACUCUACAGAGAUGUGAUGUGGGAAAUCAUCAGGAACCUGAUGUCUGUAGGAAUAAAAUGGGAAGACCGGAACAUUGAAGAUCAGUACAAAAAUUCCAGGAGAAAUCCAAGAAAUCAUAUGGCAGAGAGACUCUGUGAAUGUAAAGAUGGUCAAUGUGGAGAAACUUUCAGCCUGAUUCCAGAUGGUAUAAUGAACAAGAACACUCUUCCUGGGGUAAAACCAUGUGAAAGCAGUGUGUGUGGAGAAGGCAACGUGGAUCAUUCAUCUCUGAAUUGCUACAUCAGAGCUGACACUGGACACAAACCGUAUGAGUGUCAGGAACAUGGAGAGAAGCCACAUAAAUGUAAGCAGUGUGUAAAAACCUUCAGCUGCCUCCACUCCUUCCAAACACAUGAAAAGCCUCACACAGGAGAGAAACCCUAUGAUUGUAAGGAAUGGGAAAAAACCUUCGAUUCUCCCCAAACCGUUCGAAGAUACAGGGUAGUGCACAGUGGAGAUGGACCUUAUAAAUGUAAGUUUUGUGGGAAAGCCUUUGAUAAUCUCAGUUUAUAUCUCACACAUGAAAGAUCUCAUACUGGACAGAAGCCAUAUGAAUGUAAUGAAUGUGGGAAAGCCUUUGGUUUUCCCAGCUCCUUUCAUAGACAUGAAAGAAUGCACACCGGGGAGAAACCAUAUGAAUGUAAGCAAUGUGGGAAAACCUUUAGUUGUUCCAGUUCCAUUAAAAAACAUGAAAGAAUCCACACUGGAGAGAAGCCCUAUGAAUGCAAGCAAUGUGGGAAAGCCUUCGCUUCUUCCAAUUCCUUUCAGUAUCAUGAAAGGACUCACACUGGAGAGAAACCCUAUGAAUGUAAGCAAUGUGGGAAAGCCUUUAAUUGUUCCAGUUCCCUUAGAAAACAUGCAAGAAUUCACACUGGAGAGAAACCCUAUAUAUGUAAACAAUGUGGUAAAGCUUUUAGAUUUCCCAGUUCUAUUAAAAAUCAUGAAAAGACUCACACUGGAGAGAAGCCCUAUGAAUGUCAGGAAUGUGGGAAAGCCUUCAGAUAUUCCAGUUCACUUCGAGUACAUAAAAGAAUUCACACUGGAGAGAAGCCGUAUGAAUGUGAGGACUGUGGGAAAGCCUUCAGUCAUCCCACGACCUUUCAUAGACAUAAAAUUACCCACACUGCAGAGAAACCUUAUGAAUGUCAGGAAUGUGGGGAAGCCUUCCGUUAUCCUGUUGCUUUUCGUAGACAUAAAAUUACCCACACUGCAGAGAAACUUUGAGUGUAAGGAAUGUGGGAAAGCCUUCUGUUAUCACAGUUCCCUUCAAAGACAUGAAAGGACUCACAACGGAGAAAAGUUGUGUGGAUAUAAAAAAUGUAAAGCCGGCUGGGUGCGGUGGCUGACGCCUGUAAUCCCAGCACUUUGGGAGGCCAAGGCGGGCGGAUCAUGAGGUCAAGAGAUUGAGACCAUCAUGGCCAACAUGGUAAAACCCCAUCUCUACUAAAAAUACAAAAAUUAGCUGGGCGUGGUGGCAUGUGCCUGUAGUACCAGCUACUUGG